rnacentral:tRNA from 1 species
AGAAAGCUCCGCAAGCA